rnacentral:rRNA from 1 species
CAAAAGUCUGAUCCAGCAAUUCUGUGUGCACGAUGACGGUCUUCGGAUUGUAAAGUGCUUUCAGUUGGGAAGAAAGAAAUGACGGUACCAACAGAAGAAGCGACGGCUAAAUACGUGCCAGCAGCCGCGGUAAUACGUAUGUCGCAAGCGUUAUCCGGAUUUAUUGGGCGUAAAGCGCGUCUAGGUGGUUUGAUAAGUCUGAUGUGAAAAUGCGGAGCUCAACUCCGUAUUGCGUUGGAAACUGUCAAACUAGAGUAUCGGAGAGGUGGGCGGAACUACAAGUGUAGAGGUGAAAUUCGUAGAUAUUUGUAGGAAUGCCGAUAGAGAAGUCAGCUCACUGGACGAAUACUGACACUGAAGCGCGAAAGCAUGGGGAGCAAACAGGAUUAGAUACCCUGGUAGUCC